GACGAACGCUGGCGGCGUGCUUAACACAUGCAAGUCGAACGGAAAGGCCCUGCUUUUGUGGGGUGCUCGAGUGGCGAACGGGUGAGUAACACGUGAGUAACCUGCCCUUGACUUUGGGAUAACUUCAGGAAACUGGGGCUAAUACAGGAUAGGAGCUCCUGCUGCAUGGUGGGGGUUGGAAAGUUUCGGCGGUUGGGGAUGGACUCGCGGCUUAUCAGCUUGUUGGUGGGGUAGUGGCUUACCAAGGCUUUGACGGGUAGCCGGCCUGAGAGGGCGACCGGCCACAUUGGGACUGAGAUACCGCCCAGACUCCUACAGGAGGCAGCAGUGGAGAAUAUUGCACAAUGGGCGGAAGCCUGAUGCAGCAACGCCGCGUGCGGGAGGACGGCCUUCGGGUUGUAAACCGCUUUCGCCUGUGACGAAGAGUGAGUGACGGUAAUGGGUAAAGAAGCACCGGCUAACUACGUG
rnacentral:rRNA from 1 species